rnacentral:rRNA from 1 species
CAAGUCGAACGCGAAAGUUCCCUUCGGGGGGCGAGUAGAGUGGCGCACGGGUGAGUAACACGUAGGUAAUCUACCUUUGGAUUGGGAAUAACCACCGGAAACGGUGGCUAAUACCGAAUAAUGCAGCGGCACCUAAUGGUGACAGUUGUUAAAGCGGGGGAUCGCAAGACCUCGCGUCUGAAGAGGAGCCUGCGGCGGAUUAGCUAGUUGGUAAGGUAACGGCUUACCAAGGCGAUGAUCCGUAGCCGGCCUGAGAGGGCGGUCGGCCACACUGACACUGACAUACGGGUCAGACUCCUACGGGAGGCAGCAGUCGGGAAUUUUGGGCAAUGGGCGAAAGCCUGACCCAGCAACGCCGCGUGAAGGAUGAAAUCCCUCGGGAUGUAAACUUCGCAAGAACAGGAAGAAUAAGUGAGGGUUAAUAUCUCUUACGCUGACGGUACUGUUUGUAAGCUCUGGCUAACUCCGUGCCAGCAGCCGCGGUAAUACGGGGGGAGCAAGCGUUGUUCGGAUUUACUGGGCGUAAAGGGCGCGUAGGCGGCCACCGCAAGUCGACUGUGAAAUCUCCGGGCUUAACCCGGAAAGGUCAGCCGAAACUGCGGGGCUAGAGUGCAGAAGGGGCAACUGGAAUUCUCGGUGUAGCGGUGAAAUGCGUAGAUAUCGAGAGGAACACCUGCGGCGAAGGCGGGUUGCUGGGCUGACACUGACGCUGAAGCGCGAAAGCUAGGGGAGCGAACGGGAUUAGAUACCCCGGUAGUCCUAGCCUUAAACGAUGAAUGCUUGGUGUCUGGGGUUUUAUAGUCCCCGGGUGCCGUCGCUAACGCUUUAAGCAUUCCGCCUGGGGAGUACGGUC